CAAAAAGUUCAAAGUUUGCAUAGAGAAGAUGGCAAGGGUUGUGAAAAGAAGUUCAUGUUUUGCUUUCCUCAUGAGUUUAUGUUUCGCUUUAUUCUUCCUUUUGUGCGCCACAGGUUCUCUUGUUGAAUCAAAAAGUCAUGGAAAUGUGCUAACCAUGAUGCACCGAAGGGUAAUGAGAGAUGGUUAUAAGCCUCCUUCUCCCCGACCAAAUGGUCCAGCUAGAGGGAUAUCGGAUAGUUAGCCAUAGAUCCUUCAUUUUGAUGGCUGAUGUGCACUUGAAACAAGGGACGCAAUCCAUCUCAGUUCUAUACUACUAUUCUUACAUAAUAAAGCUUGUAUGAGAAAUAUGUUUACCAGGGAAUGUUAUUGCACAUAAGACCAACAAUAAUUUAAGGUUUCCUUUCUUGUGCCACGGCUGAGAGGAGAUAAAAUGGGAAUAAAUAGUUUUGAAGAUGGUAAUCUAUGUAUUAAUGCCUUUUAUCUGCUAUAUUUGGUAAUAAUUUGCAACAAUAAAUUGUUCCUUGCUUUGUUUC